AGUGCCCGAGGUGGCCCGCCCGCUGUACCAGAGCAGGAAGCCUCGUCCUCCUGUGCCCUCAUCCGUCGUCAUCCUCAGGGUCACCUGGUUGCCGGGGGCGACUAGGGGCGCAGGCCGGAAGGUCCCACAAAAGCGUCCGAGCCGCUGGCCGGAAGUCCCAGACCCAGCGAAGACCUCCAGAGCAUCGUAGCGGCAGGCGGGGUGCAGCUCCAGGUCGAAGACUCGGAAUGAGAGGGACACAGUCUGGCCCUCGGGGACCUGAUAGCGGGGACAGAGGCGGGGACCCACAGAGUCAGGCCCCACACAACCCAGCCAGAGGGCAGCUCCCCUGCCCCAAGCGUUUCUUGCAGAAACGGACUGAAUGGGAAGGGGCCUCCAUGAAUUCCCGGAAUCCUCCUCGGCCCCCCUUCCAGACUCCCGCCUCACUCUGCCUGGCAGUCCAGGGACAGGAGCCGCCUAACUACUUCCAGAUGUGGACACAGCCACGAGGCGGUGGGGGGGAGGGGGUGGAGAGAUGGAGGGAGCUGCAGUGGCGAUGGCCCUCUGAUUGAACCUGGAGGCCAGGCUCCGCGAGCUCCACACCUUAGCCCUGCCCCUGUUCCAAACUACUUCAGAUUCUGACUCCCAAGUCUCCACUCACUGCCCCCUCCUCCCCCUACAAUCCCUCUCGAAUUCCUUCCUGGAAUCCAGCUACCAGGCAAGUUCAGGAGCUUGGCUCUCUCUUGGGUUCUAUGGGGGGUCAAGGAUCUGGGUGGGUGGGGAGACUUAAGAGACCAGAGGACGAAGGUGGGGGAAUGGGAGCAGUGGUGGCCUGCAGGAGACCAAGGUCUUGCAGCAGAUGGGGAGGAUUUGGGGGCCAGAGAAGGGUGAGGCGGUGGGGAAUCUGGGGAGUGGUGUGUCAGCAAGGGAACCCAAAAUAUCUCCAGGCAUAACCCCAAAGGAAUCGGGGGUCUGAAGUUCACUGGAGCUGUCUGGAAGAUGCCAAGAGACCUACCUGGUGUAGUUGGGGGUCUGGCCCUGGGCAAAAGGCAGCAGGGCGCAGGCAGUGAGGAGGGGCCCCAGGAGGGAGGCUGUGGCUGCAGGCAGCAUGGCCCCGGGGGAAAGGCGCUGGGGUCCUCAAGACAGAGGCAGCAGCUGAAUUUUGCAGAGCAGCAGCAGCGGUGGCGGCAGCAGCAGGAUAAUCAGCGCCAGAUGGGGCAGCCUUGGACCUGGGCCAGACUAGGCCAAGGAGAAGGAAUUCUCACCCAUGACCUCUUCCAACUACUUGAAGCCCUCUGCAGCAUGUCCAGGGCCUCCCAGAAGAAGUCCUUCUGUGCGGCCAUCAGGGGCAUCCACCCUACGAUCUCCUUCAUCUUCUCCGUGCGGUCCUGCAACGUUUGGCAACUGUGGAUCUGGCUGAGCUUGACGAAGGAGGCACUCCCCUUGGGCCAGCCUGGGAGGCGGCCCCCAGCCCCACAGCCGCAGCCCAGCAGCUCCUUGCUGAACUCUGAGCUCUGGCUCAGCACCAGGGAGUGGUUGAGGCCGCACCACAGGGUGAUGGGCCGCUGCAGAAAAUCAGCUCCUUGCCUGAGCCCAGGGCCUGCUGUGGUGUACCCCUCAUUCUCAGCCCACCCGUCUAUGCCAGUCCAGCCUCUCAUCCUGCCUGCCAGCCUCGGGGAGACUUGCUUCUUGUGCAAUUCCAGCAGGGUCUGAGGAAUCUGCAGGAAACAGUUUGCAAAAGCCAUUGCUUUGGGCCACACCUGUGAGGAGCAGUAGAGCCCGCUGGGUCUCCUGACCAACCAGCACGAUCUGCUUGAAGGUCAUUGAGUGGUGGAAUGUCAUCUUGAAGACCCGCUGCCCACUAGACUGCAGAUAGACCUCAACACAGUCACAGGCCCGGCUGCUGGUGGUACCCACCACUUCCUGCGGCUCCCGAGUGGCCAAGACGUAGAGGGCCGGACUCCAGAACCCUGAUCUUGGAGGCGCGGACUGAGUCUGCGACAGAUGCGUCUCCACACGCCUUCCCCAUCGCACACUUCGUGGAAGUAGCGGCAGGACUCACCAGCUCUGGGGGGAACAACUGGAUGGAAAUCGGAUUUCCUUUCCCCCUCUUCUCUUCAACCCCAAGCUCCGAGCCACAAGAAGGGCAGCUUCUCUUCACCUACCCAAGAAGGGGUGCAUAGGGUCCCAUGAGGGUCCCACAUCCUUUUUUCCCUUCUCUCCGCCUACCUUGGGGCUCAUCUGACUCUAGCUGGGCACAGUUAUUUCCUCCCCUCUCUCUCCAGACCCAUCCCUAACUUCUCCAAAUAACUCCUCCCGAUCUCCUGCGGCCAAUCCCCCUCACCCGGAGCCCCUCCUCCCGUCCACACAGCCUGGUGAAUUUUUGCAGCUUCCGUCUCUGGCUUCCCCUGACCAUCCUGAUUGCCCCCUCCCUGCUCCUGCCCUCCUGUCUCCUAGGCCCUUGGCCCCCCCGUUCCUGCUGGCUUUCCCACACCAUGUCCCCAGCCUAGGCUUGGGGGACCUCUGAGGCCCCUCUGCCUCCUAGGCCCCUCCCCCAUGGAGUCUGGGGCUAACAAACCUCUCUGUGACCUCACUGUUUGGCCACUGUGACCUGUUCCCUUUAAUCUUGCCCAGGACCCAUCUCUUAGACAGCUCCUGGGUUCUAGCUCAGUUCUAGCCAUCACAUGGCUCAAGGGAUAUGCAUUUUACUGGAGAAAUAAAGUGUGAAUUACUGGUA
rnacentral:lncRNA from 1 species